UCGGGAGCGGAGUUAACCCUAGAAUUGGAGAAUUGGAUCAGGUGAUGAGAUGAGUGGGAGACGAGAGAGCGAGGGCGGAGGCAGCCUUGGGUGGUGGACGCGCGAGCCGCUCUUCUUCUGCUUGGUUUCUUUUCAUUCUCCUCCUCCAAUCUAGACUAUGUGGGCUUUGUUAUUAUAUGCAUCGAUUCCGGCGUCGUCCGGGGUGAUCUACUUGACAGAAGAGAGUGAGCACACAGCGGCGUGGGUGUCGCCGGGAUGCCGUCGCUGUUGCGUGCUCACGUCUCUCUCUGUCAUCCCUUUCUCCCUGGCGGUGCCGGAUGAGAGAAAUCCGCUCUCCUUUACCCUUUUUCUUCUUUCCUUGCUUCUUUGAUCUUGUGUGAUGAGGGUUGAUGACGGUGACGAUGAUGCGAUUUGGUGAAAGAGGCAACCUUGCGUGGGUAUAUCGAUGGUGGAUCUGAUUGGACGCUCGUGCGAGGCAGGCUUUUCCUUUUCCUCCUCCUCCUCCUCGAACUUCGAUGCUGUCUUGACUAGUUCUGCUUGGUUUCCCAAGUACUGCUACUACUACUAGUUUUGGGUCUAUUUCAGACUUGGAGAGACUGGAACUUAUGGAUCAUGGAAGCGUGACUUUUGAGACGAUUGUUUCGGAUAAGGGCGAAGUACAUGAUCCAUCCAUAUGCCUAUUGUCUUCUCUCUCCUUUCCUUCUCCGCUUUCUUCCUCUUUUCCUUUCUAGUCUUCGUCAAGAUCCAUGCUCAAACCCUCAAGAAUUCGUUGCGUUCUUCUUGGGCGUAGAUCAACUGUAAUAAUCGUGUAGGUAAGAUUACUAUUUCCUCAACCAUGACUCCAUGUGGAUGCAGCACCUCUCACUUUGGAGCUAUCAGGUCACUUAUCUCCACUUGUUGCUUCAGUUAAAAUUUGCUUCGCUCCUGCAUCAAAACCACCAUUGACGUGGUCCUCCAUUCUCUCGCUGGAAGUCGGAUUUCGUUCCAUGGUCGACGUUCUAUACCAGUGUUUGGUAGAGAAGCAAGUUGAGGAAAAGACUUGUCUGCUUUUAGGUUCACGCAGUGGAGGUUCUGGUUUCUGUGGUCUCAGCUACUCGCUCCCAGAAAGUUCUCCUUUUGCUUAAGGUAAUGAGACAGCUCUUCGUAACUUCCUUGUCGCUAAUGUUUUCCACCAAGUUGUGUAGUUAUACCUUUGUAGUGUGACACACUUGAUAUCUGUUAGACGACUAAUUCAUGGCUUUUAUUAGGGGAUUGUGUAAGAAGUUAGGAUUAGGUAUAUAUUUUAUGUCAUCAAGAGAACCUUGAACACAAACAUGAUAAAUCAAUGACAAUCGCAAAGAGGAUGACACUUGACCUCCUGAUCUCGCACAUCGAGUGCAAAAUUCAUGUUUUGUCUUCUUGAUGAGGGAGAUGUGUGGGGAUGAUAUGUCCUCAUGUUUAACUAUCUUAUAAAGUUGGCUGACAGAAAAUUUACUAGAGGACUCAGUUGAUACAUGUUCUUUAAUGUUAAUUAACAUGCACGAUUUAACAAAUUGUAUCUCGGCUUAGAAAAGAUGGCUCUACGUCCGCAUUACGAUAUACAGGCAUCACUUGCCUUUUCUUUAUUCCAUCAUGAAAAUCCAAUUUACUUGUAAGUUCUAACUACAUCUUUUGUGGGCAUCAAAGCAAUAUGAUGCUUAAAAUGUGGCAGACUAAGCUAAUUGUGGUUGAGUGAUCUCUGUUGAAGAUGCAAGUGCAGUCUCUUGGACUUGGAUUAUAUAUAGAACGUAUAUGGAGGUAAGAGUGAUGACAUGAUGGAUUGUGGCAUGGAGUGAAUGGGAUGGAUGGAUUUUGUUGGUUCUAAAUAAUAUUUUUAUGUGUAGAAGGCAAGAAAGUGAGCUUUCUCAAUAGAUUAAGACUUGGCUUUUGACUGAAUCCUUCUUCAACUCUUGGUACGAUAUAGUCAAACUAUAUGUAGCAAAAGGUAAACAAAUUAGAUAGAAACUUUUAACAUUAUUUGUGCAUCACGGGAUGAGCAUAUCAUGAGGACAGAAGGGUGUAUUCAGUCAAAACUGUCAAUUCAUAGAAAAGAAUUCAACAUGGUGAUUCUUAUCCAGAAACACAAGAAAUCCUUGUCAUUAGGACCACCUCUCUCUUAGUCAUGUGGAGACUUCUAUCCAAUUGGCCACUUUUUUCUAAGUCAUAUGGAGACUUCUACCCACUUUUUUGCUAGUCAUAUGGAUAACACUUCUACUCAAAUUAUGUGUCAUUCUAAUUUUUGUAUUUAUUUUCGGUU